rnacentral:lncRNA from 1 species
CAAAAAUUCAUUUGAAAAAAAAUCUGGUUAGAUUUCAUGGUAAUCUCUCCAGGGACACAAUAAUAAAUGCAGAGAGGUGUUCAUAAAGAGCAAUAUCAGAUGGCACCCCAAAAAAGGAUAUGAAAGAACACCAAAAGGGAACUCUAAAGAUUUAGUUGGAAAAAUGCAGAGAGGUGUUCAUAAAGAGCAAUAUCAGAUGGCACCCCAAAAAAGGAUAUGAAAGAACACCAAAAGGGAACUCUAAAGAUUUAGUUGGAAAAGUAGCUUCAGUCAUCCUAGCCUAGUCUGUGAUGCUGGGAAAAAACGUAAUAUGCUGUUUAUUGCAGCACUAUUCACAAUAGCAAAGACUUGGAACCAACCCAAAUGUCCAACAAUGAUAGACUGAA